rnacentral:rRNA from 1 species
UACGAAGGGUGCAAGCGUUACUCGGAAUCACUGGGCGUAAAGGGCGCGUAGGUGGCGCCGCAAGUCCAUGGUGAAAGCUCGAUGCUCAACAUCGAGUCGGCCACGGAGACUGCGGGGCUCGAGCACUGUAGGGGCAGAUGGAAUUCCGGGUGUAGCGGUGGAAUGCGUAGAGAUCCGGAAGAACACCGGUGGCGAAGGCGGUCUGCUGGGCAGUUGCUGACACUGAGGCGCGACAGCGUGGGGAGCGAACAGG